UAGGGAAUAUUAGAAAUGGACGAAAGUCUGAUCUAGCAACACCGCGUGUGCGAAGAAGGCCUUCGGGUCGUAAAGCACUUUUUGGAAGGAUUAGGAAGGAAUGUACUUCCAGAAUAAGUCUCGGCUAACUACGUGCCAGCAGCCGCGGUAACACGUAGGAGGCAAACGUUAUCCGGAUUUACUGGGCGUAAAGCGCGUGUAGGUGGUUCUGUAAGUAGGGCGUGAAAGCUCCUGGCUCAACUGGGAGAGGCCGUUCUAAACUGCAGAGCUAGAGGAUGGUAGAGGGAGGUGGAAUUCCGGGUGUAGCGGUGGAAUGCGCAGAUAUCCGGAGGAACACCAGUGGCGAAGGCGGCUUUCUGGACGGUAACUGACGCUGAGACGCGAAAGCGUGGGGAGCAAACA
rnacentral:rRNA from 1 species